rnacentral:rRNA from 1 species
GAUGAACGCUGGCGGCGUGCCUAAUACAUGCAAGUCGAGCGAACGGACGAGAAGCUUGCUUCUCUGAUGUUAGCGGCGGACGGGUGAGUAACACGUGGAUAACCUACCUAUAAGACUGGGAUAACUUCGGGAAACCGGAGCUAAUACCGGAUAAUAUUUUGAACCGCAUGGUUCAAAAGUGAAAGACGGUCUUGCUGUCACUUAUAGAUGGAUCCGCGCUGCAUUAGCUAGUUGGUAAGGUAACGGCUUACCAAGGCAACGAUGCAUAGCCGACCUGAGAGGGUGAUCGGCCACACUGGAACUGAGACACGGUCCAGACUCCUACGGGAGGCAGCAGUAGGGAAUCUUCCGCAAUGGGCGAAAGCCUGACGGAGCAACGCCGCGUGAGUGAUGAAGGUCUUCGGAUCGUAAAACUCUGUUAUUAGGGAAGAACAUAUGUGUAAGUAACUGUGCACAUCUUGACGGUACCUAAUCAGAAAGCCACGGCUAACUACGUGCCAGCAGCCGCGGUAAUACGUAGGUGGCAAGCGUUAUCCGGAAUUAUUGGGCGUAAAGCGCGCGUAGGCGGUUUUUUAAGUCUGAUGUGAAAGCCCACGGCUCAACCGUGGAGGGUCAUUGGAAACUGGAAAACUUGAGUGCAGAAGAGGAAAGUGGAAUUCCAUGUGUAGCGGUGAAAUGCGCAGAGAUAUGGAGGAACACCAGUGGCGAAGGCGACUUUCUGGUCUGUAACUGACGCUGAUGUGCGAAAGCGUGGGGAUCAAACAGGAUUAGAUACCCUGGUAGUCCACGCCGUAAACGAUGAGUGCUAAGUGUUAGGGGGUUUCCGCCCCUUAGUGCUGCAGCUAACGCAUUAAGCACUCCGCCUGGGGAGUACGACCGCAAGGUUGAAACUCAAAGGAAUUGACGGGGACCCGCACAAGCGGUGGAGCGUGUGGUUUAAUUCGAAGCAACGCGAAGAACCUUACCAAAUCUUGACAUCCCUUGACAACUCUAGAGAUAGAGCCUUCCCCUUCGGGGGACAAAGUGACAGGUGGUGCAUGGUUGUCGUCAGCUCGUGUCGUGAGAUGUUGGGUUAAGUCCCGCAACGAGCGCAACCCUUAAGCUUAGUUGCCAUCAUUAAGUUGGGCACUCUAAGUUGACUGCCGGUGACAAGCCGGAGGAAGGUGGGGAUGACGUCAAAUCAUCAUGCCCCUUAUGAUUUGGGCUACACACGUGCUACAAUGGACAAUACAAAGGGCAGCGAAACCGCGAGGUCAAGCAAAUCCCAUAAAGUUGUUCUCAGUUCGGAUUGUAGUCUGCAACUCGACUACAUGAAGCUGGAAUCGCUAGUAAUCGUAGAUCAGCAUGCUACGGUGAAUACGUUCCCGGGUCU